rnacentral:lncRNA from 10 species
UUUGGGAAGACUGAUUUGAGUAAAAUGCCUGAUUCUCCUGUGUGGCCAGUCUCGUGUCAAUUAAACUCUCUACUACAAUGCCAUGGUGUCAAUGCAUCUUGUCUGUGCAGUGCGCAGAAAGAACCCACUGGCAAUUACAUUACCAGUAGCUAUCGCUCUUCUGUCCUUCAAACAGGAAAUACUUCAACCCUGGCUGCUGCCAAGAGGAAAUGAAUGGUGUCUUUGAGAUAUUCACAAACAUCCGGUGCGGAUGGGGAAGCUCACUUUGAGAGCCAGCGUUUAUUCUAUUUUCUGUAUUUGAUCCAUUCUCAACAAAGGCCGUUCCCAACCCUAUCUUUCACAGUGUCUUUCUGCUGCACCAGAUGUUGGAAUAAAUCUGUAUUUCUUU